CCCACAACCACCAACCAUGAGCUUGGUUCCCAUAAUAACUCAGAAAAGUACAUCAGUCAUGUGUGUUAUUGAGGAUUUCUACCCCAAGGACCUCACUGUGCAGUGGGAAGUAAAUGAUACUAACUGCUCGAGACAAUCAAACCUGGAGUACGAACUGAAUGAUGAAGGUCUUUACAACACACAGAGUCUGUGUAAAGUCAGCAGUGAGACGUGGAAUACAAAUACUGAGUAUACCUGUGUGGUCAACCACCAGGGAAAACCGAUUAGUGUGAGGAAGAACUUUAAAGAUAAACUCACACUGACGCUGAAGCCACCAAUUGAGAGAGAAUUAUUUGUCAAUAAUAAAGUUGUCUUGGAAGCUGUUGUUUCUGGAGAUGAUCUAAAGACAGUGCAAGAAGCUUCAGUGUCGUGCAAAGUGAAGAAUGAAACUGUAACCAGUGUUACAGGAAAUUUUAACUUUCCUGAAGGCACUUCACAGUUUAAAAAAACCCGCUACAUCAUCGUUGAUACAGAGAAAUGGUUUGAUGGUGAAAUAGUCACCUGCAGCAUUCAUGACAGAGACAUCAAGCAGGAGAUUCAUUUUGAUAAAGGAGAUGGACGGAAACCCAGUGUUUUCAUUUACACACCUGAUACUAUCCCCACAGACACAGUCUCUCUGGUGUGUGAGGUCACCAGCCCUAAACUUGGUGAUGUCUAUAUCAUGUGGAAAGUGGGAAAUGGGCGUUACAUAAAGGGUUCAACCAGCGACCAAUUCAACCAAUUCAACGAGAUAACGGCAUCUCUGUUCUCAGUAUUAUGAAAGUGCCAAAACAAGGGUAUGAGUAUCUCAGAAAUACCAUCAUCUGUGCAGUCAAACACGCCAACAAGCACAAUAUAGUAUCUCC